rnacentral:lncRNA from 1 species
CCCUGUCCGCUCCCCUGCAUGUGGUGGCGGCGCUGGGGCCGCCCGGGGGGGGCUCCGUGUUCCUCAUGGAGCAGCUGGCGGGAUCGGGCUGCAGCUUCCCCGGCAGCCCUGGGCUGUGGAUGUUGAGAUGCCCUCACCCGGACUGGCCCGACCGCGAGCUGCUUCUGCUGCACGCCGGAGGAUUCCUUGGGGGCGAGGAACCGGAGGUAACGAGCGGGGUCCGGGGUGGGGCGGUCCCGAUCCCCCGCCCCACUGAGCGACCCCCAAUACCCCCCCCCCACACCCAAUUCGCGUGCUGGGUGAUGGCAGUGGUGAUGGCAAUGGUGAUGCACAGGAACAGCUCGAGCUCCUCACCUACGCCCAGAAGUUGCCACACCAUCUGCGCCUGCUGGAGGAGGAGGAGGAUGAAGAAGAUGAAGACCAUCUGCUGCGCUUCGUGCUGCCGCCAUUCGUCUGGAGCCUGUGCAGCACAGCCCAGGCCCCUGAGGAUGAAGAGUUGUUGGAGGAUGAGGACCACAACCUGGAGCCAGCACUGGCCGGCCCCCCAGGCCCCGUGGCGCGCUGUAUCCUGA